UCAUUUUCCCUAUUUUCACUUUUAUCCAAGCCCCUUUUAUUUAUUACAACAUGUGCAUUGCAUUGCAAUCCAGAGGUCAAACUAAUAUUUAAGGAGAAAAGCAAAAAUAAAAAUACAUGACAUAAAAAUAAAUAACGCUUCUUUUCUGUCUGCAAGAUCAGUUUAUAUCCAGCCAGAAGUUUGUUGUUCCAGAUAAUACCCGUCAAAUGUUGAAAAUAUAUACCGACAUAGUGCCUAGAGCUUUAGAUAAGAAUAGUUCUAAUUGUAUGAAUGCAAAACUACAUUGCUCUAUCCUAGAAAACUUUCUCUAGGCUUCUCUAUUUGCUAGACAAUGAAUGUAAACACUUAAUGUUUAUUGAGCAGGAUUUAUGAAGCUGUCAGUGAACUGACACAUGGCAAUAAAAUGUAUUGUGGCUGGAGCCUAGAUAAUCUGCAGCUGAAUGAAUUACGUUAAUUCUGGUGCUUGCAUAUUCAUGCUAUGGAAAUAGUUCUUGUAACAGAUUUCUUCAUUGUCUGCAGGUGUUACAGCGUGGUUAGAAGUAGAGUUAAUUGCACUCUAGGACUUGUGGGAAUUCACACGUCCCUGGAAUUGGCUUGUUUUCUGGAAGAGUAUUCAUGAUUUGUGUAAGGAAGCCAACACACUCAUAAUUAAAUGAUCACAACUGCAAACACUUAACUUUUGAAAAGGUAUUUAAAAUACAUAUAGGUAUUUCUUAGUAUUAUGUUAAUAUUAAAAUUUUAUCUUCAUCCACCUUCCAGUUAACACAUACAUUUGUAUUCCAAAUUUAACAUCACUUGAUAAAAUUAAAAGCUUUGAUUAUGCUUCUACAGUUAAGCUAUAUGCAUAGUUGCUAUACCUCCUAGAUAAAUAAGAUUACCUAGUUUUGUAAACUUAAUUAGAAGAGAUGUUCUCUCUCAUGGGGCAUAAUUAAAAGUAAAGUGUUUUAUUUACUUCAGCAGAAAAUACAUUAGAGCAUCUCUGAAAGGAGAGAAAUUAAUCAUAGAAAAGAUGCACAUAUUAUUUCAUUACAGUGACCCAGUGUUCACAACUGCAUUUCAGGGUUUAUUUGGAAAAGUGUGUCAAUUUUCUGAAUUUUACAUUGGGCAAUAAUUAGAUAAUUGUUGAUGUUAUUGUUAAUUUUUUAAAAAUUUAGAUUUAUGUUUUUUUCAUCCAAAGUCUGUUUUUAUCCAAGUCCCAUUUAUUUUUUCUGUUGCAGAUCUUACUUGCCCUAGAGAUAUUUUUCUUUGAUGGGUUCUUCUGUUUAACAGCAGCAAAUAUUUCAAGAACUAUUGGUAGAGCAAUAUACUACGUAUAAGGGAAGCAGAAAAAAAAAUUGUCAUACUGUAAAUAAGAUAAAGGGAAACAGCUUUCUUCUCUGAGGGUGCCAGAAAAGCAGUAUCCAGACACUGAAGAGAUCACACAACUUGAGAGAAGUCUGCACGUUUUCAACAGAAUCUUGUACUAGGAAUAUGCUCUGGAGAAUAUAGAGGGGUAGAUGGAAGCAGACUUGUUUGUAAGCACAGGUGACUCCUGAGAGUCUCAGAAAUGCUACUCAUGGUCAUUAAAGGAAGAUGGAAAACCUGGAUUUGCAUGUGGAAGCAAUGAACUAAAAAAAAAUGUUGUUUCCAUUAUUUACACAUGUAACAUAUACAUAUAAACUGAUGAACCUACAUAAUUCCAAGUUAUCUAUGUAUUUAUCUACAUAUUUAUUGUACUUCA
rnacentral:lncRNA from 1 species